GGCUCCAGCAUCGAUGAAGAACGCAGCGAAACGCGAUAAGUAAUGUGAAUUGCAGAAUUCAGUGAAUCAUCGAAUCUUUGAACGCACAUGGCGCCUUCCAGUAUCCUGGGAGGCAUGCCUGUCCGAGCGUCGUUUCAACCCUCGAGCCCCCGUGGCCCGGCGUU
rnacentral:rRNA from 1 species